UACAGAGGGGGCAAGCGUUGUUCGGAAUUCCUGGGCGUAAAGGGCGCGUAGGCGGCCUGCUCAGUCGAACGUGAAAUCCCUGGGCUCAACCCAGGAACUGCGUCCGAUACUGGUUGGCUUGAAUCCGGGAGAGGGAUGUGGAAUUCCAGGUGUAGCGGUGAAAUGCGUAGAUAUCUGGAGGAACACCGGUGGCGAAGGCGACAUCCUGGACCGGUAUUGACGCUGAGGCGCGAAAGCCAGGGGAGCAAACGGG
rnacentral:rRNA from 1 species